rnacentral:rRNA from 1 species
CAACGUUUGACAUCCCUAUCGCGGAUCGUGGAGACACUUUCCUUCAGUUCGGCUGGAUAGGUGACAGGUGCUGCAUGGCUGUCGUCAGCUCGUGUCGUGAGAUGUUGGGUUAAGUCCCGCAACGAGCGCAACCCUCGCCUUUAGUUGCCAUCAUUUAGUUGGGUACUCUAAAGGAACCGCCGGUGAUAAGCCGGAGGAAGGUGGGGAUGACGUCAAGUCCUCAUGGCCCUUACGCGUUGGGCUACACACGUGCUACAAUGGCGACUACAGUGGGCAGCCACUCCGCGAGGAGGAGCUAAUCUCCAAAAGUCGUCUCAGUUCGGAUCGUUCUCUGCAACUCGAGAGCGUGAAGGCGGAAUCGCUAGUAAUCGCGGAUAACAUGCCGNGGNGAAUCCGUUCCCAGGCCUUGNNACCCGCCGUCAACCAUGGGAGUUGGAUUCACUCNAGGCGUUGAGCUAACCGAANGGAGGCAGGCGACCACAGGGGGUUAGCGACUGGGGNG